rnacentral:lncRNA from 1 species
CACUGUCAUCACCAUCAUCACAAUUAUCAUCACCAUCAUUCUCAUCAUCACUGACAGCAUCACUAUUGUCACCAUAGUCACCAUCACCAUUGACAUCAUCACCACCAUCAUCACCACAGUCAGUGCCGUGAUCACCAUCAUCCUCCCCAUCCUCACUAUCAUCAAUGCCAUCAUCACCACCAUGGCAAUGGCAGCAGGACACAGAGCACAUUUAUAAACUGACUUCUAUCUUUUAAAUACAUCAUUAAUCCUCCAAACAAACCUACAAAGUCCACCAAAAUUGUUUUCAUGUAGGAAAAAUACGGGCUUAGAUCAAUCAGGGUAUGUAGGAAGCUUGUGCAGCUCCUCCCAUUAGAAGGGAAUAAAUCAACUCUUUCACCCACGUGUUUUUUGAUGCUGCAGUUCUUUUUCCCCCUAAGCACACCAUCUCGGGUUCACAUGCCUGGAAACACCUGGGGCCUCGACCCUGAUCAAAGACGACCUUCGAGGAAGACAAGCACUGGGGCUAGAGCUGCCAUCUUGGACCAUGGAGCCAUCUGACAGAAGGAUGCUGGCCUAGGAUCAUGCAGGGCCAUACAUGGCAAGAGUGUUCCAGUGAUUAGUUUGAGCUCCAACACUUUUGGUGCCAUCCAGUCUACCUGAGAACACCUGAAUAAAAUCUACUUUCUCAUCUAUGCAAAGACCCAAGGGAUGCAGCAAAGCCAUGUGAAAUCUCCAAACGUUGGAAAAGAUCAGUGUUAAGACCAGAGAAUCACUUGCAGGCUGCUGUGUACACCCGGACGGACACACAGAGAUGAAACCACCGCACAAGAACACCUGCAUUUUUUAGUCAAAGCAACUUUCAUUCAAAGAAAUACAAAUUAAUUUAACAUGAAUAAAAUAUCACUCAAAUGGUA